GUACAUUGCCCGAGCGUUAUCCGGAUUUAUUGGGCGUAAAGGGUGUGUAGGUGGUUUUGUUAGUCUUUCGUUAAAGCUCUCGGCUUAACCGGGAAAGUGCGAAGGAAACGGCAAGACUAGAGGGUGCAAGAGGCUUAUGGAACUCAUGGUGUAGGGGUGAAAUCCGUUAAUAUCAUGGGGAACACCGAAGGCGAAGGCAAUAAGCUGGUGCAUUUCUGACACUGAAACACGAAAGCGUGGGUNGCGAAUGGGAUUAGAUACCCCAGUAGUCCACGCCCUAAACGAUGUUCUCUAGUUUUUCGGAGUAUCGACCCUCUGAGANACAAAGCUAACGCNUUAAGAGAACCGCCUGGGUNGUACGGCCGCAAGGCUGAAACUCAAAGGAAUAGACGGGGACUUGCACAAGCGGUGGAUCAUGCGGUUUAAUUCGAUUCCUAAACGAAAGAACCUUACCAAGACUAGACAUCUUACUUGAACCUUAAAAAGAAACUUUAAGCUUCU
rnacentral:rRNA from 1 species